GAUGAACGCUGGCGGCGUGCCUAAUACAUGCAAGUAGAACGCUGAAGCUUGGUGCUUGCACCGAGCGGAUGAGUUGCGAACGGGUGAGUAACGCGUAGGUAACCUGCCUCUUAGCGGGGGAUAACUAUUGGAAACGAUAGCUAAUACCGCAUAAAAGACGAUAUCGCAUGAUAUUGAUUUGAAAGGUGCAAAUGCAUCACUAAGAGAUGGACCUGCGUUGUAUUAGCUAGUUGGUGAGGUAACGGCUCACCAAGGCAACGAUACAUAGCCGACUUGAGAGGGUGAUCGGCCACACUGGGACUGAGACACGGCCCAGACUCCUACGGGAGGCAGCAGUAGGGAAUCUUCGGCAAUGGGGGCAACCCUGACCGAGCAACGCCGCGUGAGUGAAGAAGGUUUUCGGAUCGUAAAGCUCUGUUGUAAGAGAAGAACGAGUGUGAGAGUGGAAAGUUCACACUGUGACGGUAACUUACCAGAAAGGGACGGCUAACUACGUGCCAGCAGCCGCGGUAAUACGUAGGUCCCGAGCGUUAUCCGGAUUUAUUGGGCGUAAAGCGAGCGCAGGCGGUUAGAUAAGUCUGAAGUUAAAGGCUGUGGCUUAACCAUAGUACGCUUUGGAAACUGUUUAACUUGAGUGCAGAAGGGGAGAGUGGAAUUCCAUGUGUAGCGGUGAAAUGCGUAGAUAUAUGGAGGAACACCGGUGGCGAAAGCGGCUCUCUGGUCUGUAACUGACGCUGAGGCUCGAAAGCGUGGGGAGCAAACAGG
rnacentral:rRNA from 1 species